CCAGACUCCUACGGGAGGCAGCAGUGAGGAAUAUUGGUCAAUGGCCGAGAGGCUGAACCAGCCAAGUCGCGUGAGGGAUGACGGCCCUACGGGUUGUAAACCUCUUUUGCCGGGGAGCAAAGAGCGGGACGCGUCCCGCCUCGAGAGUACCCGGAGAAAAAGCAUCGGCUAACUCCGUGCCAGCAGCCGCGGUAAUACGGAGGAUGCGAGCGUUAUCCGGAUUUAUUGGGUUUAAAGGGUGCGUAGGCGGGCUUUUAAGUCAGCGGUAAAAUUGCGGGGCUCAACCUCGUCGAGCCGUUGAAACUGGGUGCCUUGAGUGGGCGAGAAGUACGCGGAAUGCGUGGUGUAGCGGUGAAAUGCAUAGAUAUCACGCAGAACUCCGAUUGCGAAGGCAGCAUACCGGCGCUCAACUGACGCUGAGGCACGAAAGCGUGGGGAUCGAACAGGAUUAGAUACCCUCGUAC
rnacentral:rRNA from 1 species